AGAGUGCAGCGAGGGGGGGAUGGAUGAGGCAUCUGUGAUAGGGAGGCUUUUUUUAAGACAGUAGAGGUCAAUGUCGUGAUGUAUGGUUCGGAGAUCAAGAUACUGAGGUAGUCAUUGGAAGUGACUAGGAAGGACAAGAGCAGAAAGAAGAGACACAGAGAGCGCAGAUGGUUUAGACACAUGGAGACGAGUGUUGGACCAACAAUGUUGGCGUUGGAUGAAGAGGAAGAGGAUGUGGUGAAGGAAGACGGGAUCAGAUGAGGGGAGGAGUUGCGGGAAAUCCCAGAUAAGGAAACUCACAAACCAAGUGUGCAUCUUCUGAUUCAUUUGACUGAAACAGUCCUGACUCUUCCUGACCGACACGCUGAAUUUGUACUCCCCAAAGCUGCGGACAAUUCCCAUCAGUCACGGAAUCAAAGCCUUGACUCCACUUCAGAUCCUAAGAAGCGUGUCUCGCCGCGACUUCCUCCUACAAUAUUUAACCAGAACUUCAAUCUUGACCUUGAUUCAUCCAACUACACUCCUAUCUGAUAUCUGGCCUCCUGGGAAAUAUAAUCCUUCCGCCGGAGACACGCGCGUCAUGCCUUUUGAUCAUUUAGAAUACUAUUGAUUCAUGUCCAGGUUUUUCAUUUAAAACUUUAAUCGCACAUUCAGCCUGCAAGUCUGCGUUGCUUUAAAAACCUUUAAAGCUG